AUUGAACGCUGGCGGCAUGCCUUACACAUGCAAGUCGAACGGUAGCACGGGGGCAACCCUGGUGGCGAGUGGCGAACGGGUGAGUAAUGCAUCGGAACGUGCCCAGUAGUGGGGGAUAACCAGUCGAAAGACUGGCUAAUACCGCAUACGACCUACGGGUGAAAGCGGGGGACCGUAAGGCAUCGCGCUAUUGCAGCGGCUGAUGUAUGAUUAGCUAGUUGGCGGGGUAAGGGACCACCAAGGCGACGAUCAGUAGCUGGUCUGAGAGGACGACCAGCCACACUGGGACUGAGACACGGCCCAGACUCCUACGGGAGGCAGCAGUGGGGAAUUUUGGACAAUGGGCGCAAGCCUGAUCCAGCCAUGCCGCGUGCGGGAAGAAGGCCUUCGGGUUGUAAACCGCUUUUGGCAGGAACGAAACGGCGCAAGCCAAUACCUUGCGCUAAUGACGGUACCUGCAGAAUAAGCACCGGCUAACUACGUGCCAGCAGCCGCCGUAAUAC
rnacentral:rRNA from 1 species